UGGCAAUACACCAAAGAGUUACUCUCUGAAUAUGUACAAUGAUUUUGUGCCGAUGUGCAUUUUUCUGAGUCUAACCAAGGGAAACUUGCUUGCGAAGGGAAAGUUGAAGACAAAUUUGAUAUGAAACCGCACAGAGAAAAUCUUGUGGACUAUGGAAAGUUAUGUCGUGAGAGGCCUAAUAUGUCUAUGUGUUAAAACAAGAAAAUUGGAGUUUAUUCCAGAUGACAAUGAAAGAGGCAUGAGACCCUUGCCUGGUCCAGAUGGCCUGGUACCUGGUCCCAAGGUUGUAGUUCUUUCUAUUGUCCAAUGCCUUGUUGCCUAUGUAACUUGAUGCUGUUUUCUGAAGUCAGGAUUUCUGUCUUGUACCUUACGUACUUCUAUUCUCAACAGUGAUCUUUCUGUGAAAAAAACAUUUCUUGAGUUCUCAUUUGGAAAAUCUGUUGCAGAAGUCUCAUUCUUUGUGUCAAUCUUUCUUUUG